UCAAGCUAAUAAGAGCGCAAGGGGAAUGCCUUGGCAUCAGGAGCCGACGAAGGACGUGACAAGCUGCGAUAAGCUACGGUGAGGAGCAAAUAUCCUGUGACCCGUAGAUUUCCGAAUGGGGCAACCCGGCUGGACAAUAUCCAGUCAUCCUGCAUUGAAUCAAAUAGGUGUAGGAAGGGAACCGCCUGAACUGAAACAUCUAAGUAGGGCGAGGAAAAGACAUCAACCGAGAUUCCGCAAGUAGUGGCGAGCGAACGCGGAAGAGGCCAAACCGGAGGAUUUAUUCUCCGGGGUUGCGGACAGCUAUACGGAACAAUAGUUUAGCCGAACGGUCUGGGAAGGCCGGUCACAGAGGGUGAGAACCCCGUAGGCGAAAGACGAAUUGUUUCAGGCUGGAUCCAGAGUACCGCAGGACACGUGAAACCCUGUGGGAAACAGGGGGGACCACCCUCCAAGCCUAAAUACUACCUGAUGACCGAUAGAGGAGCAGUACCGUGAGGGAAAGGUGAAAAGGACCCCGGGAGGGGAGUGAAAGAGAACCUGAAACCUUGUGCUUACAAGCAGUCAGAGCACGUUAAAGUGUGAUGGCGUACUUUUUGUAGAACGGUCCGGCGAGUUAUAGUAACGAGCAAGCUUAAGGUAUUCAGUACCGGAGGCGAAGCGAAAGCGAGUCUGAAUAGGGCGCAUGAAGUUCGUUGCCAUAGACCCGAAACCGGGUGACCUACGCAUGAGCAGGUUGAAGUGGGGGUGAAACCCCAUGGAGGACCGAACCAACCCCCGUUGCAAUGGUGGUGGAUGACUUGUGCGUAGCGGUGAAAUUCCAAUCGAACUCGGAGAUAGCUGGUUCUCCCCGAAAUAGCUUUAGGGCUAGCGUUAGUUUAGAUUACCGGAGGUAAAGCACUGAAUGGUUUAGGGGCUGAUAAAGUUACCGACGCCUAUCAAACUCUGAAUGCCGGAUAAUUGAUGACUAGCAGUCAGACAGUGUGAGAUAAGUUUCAUUGUCAAAAGGGAAACAGCCCAGACCUACAGCUAAGGUCCCAAAUGUAUGCUAAGUGGAAAACGAUGUGGAAUUGCGAAAACAACCAGGAUGUUGGCUUAGAAGCAGCCACACAUUAAAAGAGUGCGUAAUAGCUCACUGGUCGAGUGACUCUGCGCGGAAAAUGUAACGGGGCUAAGCAUGCAACCGAAGCUUAGGAUUGUCUAAAGACAGUGGUAGGGGAGCGUUCUGUAUGGGGUGAAGUCGCAGCGAGAGCAGCGGUGGACUGUACAGAAGUGAGAAUGCCGGAAUGAGUAGCGAGAAUUAUGUGGGAAUCAUAAUGGCCGAAAAUCUAAGGUUUCUUGGGGAAGGUUCGUCCGCCCAAGGUAAGUCGGGAGCUAAGCUCAGGCCGCGAGGCGUAGGCGAUGCACAUACGGUAGAAAUUCCGUAACCACCGAACUUUAAGCAUGAGGGACACUUUGAGAUAGCGGAACCCGGGCGUUGGUUGACCCGGGCGAAAGGGACCGAAAUAUAGUAGGGAAGUCCGCGAUGCUCGGAGGCGAGAAAAGCUCAUGUGUAUACUAAGGUGCCCGUACCGCAAACCGACACAGGUAGAUGAGGAGAGAAUCCUAAGGCCAACGGGAGAAGGGUUGUUAAGGAACUCGGCAAGAUGACCCCGUAACUUCGGAAGAAGGGGAGCCUCGAAAGAGGCCGCAGUGAAUAGGCCCAAGCAACUGUUUACCAAAAACACAGGUUUAUGCUAAAUCGAAAGAUGACGUAUAUGAGCUGACGCCUGCCCGGUGCCGGAAGGUUAAGAGGAGAUGUCAACCGCAAGGUGAAGCAUUGAAUUGAAGCCCCGGUAAACGGCGGCCGUAACUAUAACGGUCCUAAGGUAGCGAAAUUCCUUGUCAGGUAAGUUCUGACCCGCACGAAAGGCGUAAUGAUUUGGGCGCUGUCUCGACAAUGUACUCGGCGAAAUUGUAGUACUAGUGAAGAUGCUAGUUACCUGCGACAAGACAGAAAGACCCCAUGGAGCUUUACUGUAGCUUGAUACUGGGUUUCGAUAAUUUAUGUACAGGAUAGGUGGGAGGCGAAGAAGCAAUUGCGCCAGCAGUUGUGGAGUCAUCCUUGGGAUACCACCCUUAAGUUAUUGAAAUUCUAACCUGUAGUCCUGAGCGGGCUAGGGGACAAUGUCAGGCGGGCAGUUUGACUGGGGCGGUCGCCUCCAAAAGAGUAACGGAGGCGCGCAAAGGUUUCCUCAGCGCGGACAGAAAUCGCGCGAAAGAGUGCAAAGGCAGAAGGAAGCUUAACUGAGAGACUGACAAGUCGACCAGAUACGAAAGUAGGUCUUAGUGAUCCGGCGGUAGUGAGUGGAAAUGCCGUCGCUCAACGGACAAAAGUUACCCUGGGGAUAACAGGCUUAUCUCCCCCAAGAGUUCACAUCGACGGGGAGGUUUGGCACCUCGAUGUCGGCUCAUCACAUCCUGGAGCGGAAGUACGUUCCAAGGGUUGGGCUGUUCGCCCAUUAAAGUGGUACGCGAGCUGGGUUCAGAACGUCGUGAGACAGUUCGGUCCUUAUCUGUCGCAGGCGAAGGAUAUUUGAGGGGAGUUGACCUUAGUACGAGAGGACCAGGUUGAACUUACCAAUGGUGUAUCAGUUGUCGUACCAACGGCACGGCUGAGUAGCUAAGUAGGGAAGGGAUAAACGCUGAAAGCAUCUAAGUGUGAAGCCCACCCCAAGAUAAGAUAUCCCAUACCGUAAGGUAGUAAGAUUCCACGUAGACUAUGUGGUAGAUAGGUUGGAGGUGUAAGUGCAGUAAUGCAUUAAGCUGACCAAUACUAAUAAAUCGAGGGCUUAACCAC
rnacentral:rRNA from 1 species